GACUGCCAGAGACAUCGUCUGUCGACACCCUUUCCCUGGUCCUGGCCUGGCCAUCAGAGUGAUCUGUGCAGACGAGCCCUACAUCUGUAAGGACUUUGCUGAGACCAACAACAUCCUCAAGAUCAUCACAGACUUCUCUGCCAUGGUCAAAAAGCCCCACACGCUGCUGCAGAGAGUGAAGUCGUGUAUAUCAGACGAGGAGGAAGAGAAACUCCUGCAGAUCACCAGUGUUCAUUCACUCAAUGCCUUCCUGCUGCCAAUCAAGACUGUGGGAGUCCAGGUAACACACUUUAUACAGUGUUC